AUGACCGUAAAAUGGUUCAGAGUUUUCUUAGCUAAAAUGGUUCAGAGUUUCAUUAAAGAGAGUAACGAUAAGAAAACACCAAUGUCUGAAUUUACUCGCAACAAUUGCAAUUGCUUUAACGGAAACAGUAACGAUAGCUCCGAUGAAGAACUUGGUUUCUUCGGUGAAUCUAUCACUUCUAGUUUUAUCAAUGAUGCCAGUGACACGCUCAAGAGUUUAAUUCCACGUGCGAGUGUUAUGGAGAGAAAUCUGUUAGCUGAUACAUCAAAAAUAGUUGACAAGAACAACAAAGUUUUCAAGCGAUAA